rnacentral:lncRNA from 1 species
GGAAUGGUCUUGCCCAAAGCUUCUCAAGCUCUAUGUGUGCCGUGUGCAGGUUCAGUUUUUUCAAAAUCAGACUCAAAUUCUGGAGCCUUGCACACUGCCAUGUUUUAUCGGGAAAUCUUGUCGAGCUGAAACUUCAGAGUGCGGCGUCACGGAAUGAAAACAAUCCAUUUAUUCUGAACUGGAAAUAAUUAUCGAUAAACAGGAGUGGUCACCACCAGGUGGCGCUGGCGAACAGGGUAGGCUGGAUUGUCAAUUACACCGGCGCCAGGGGGGUCCCCGCUGUGGUGGGGGUGGGGAAGAACAGAUACUCCCUCCUUCUUCCCCUCAUGGGAAUGUGGCUUUCUUUUCAAGCGCAGAAGGGGCUGCUCUGCUCUUUCCUUGGAAAAGGGAAAAUCAAGGGCACCUAGCUUGCUUAGUCAUUUCUCCAGCUGAAUUGGCUCAUUCCCAGUUUUCUCCUCCAUGCAAAGCCAAUGAGAAAUAGGUGUGUGCGUGUGUGUGUGUGUGUGUGUGCGUGUGUGUGCGUGUGUGUGUGUGUGUGAGAGCGCGCGCGCGCGCCCGCGUCUGUGUCUGUGUUAGAGUGGGGUGGGGACUAGACCUGCCAUUUUACUGGCAGAGGAAAUUCCUGAUGAGAAAGUACCCUCUGCUCAUACAGACAUUUUUCCACCCUGCUGAGUUUCUGCAUUCUUCAGAAGGAACUGCGAGGAGGCCAAGAUUCCAACUGAUAAUAGGACAAAUGCUGAAGCAGGCCGGUGGCUGGGAGAACUGUAACUUCGAGGCCACUGGAUUCCAGAACCUGAGAUUACGGGUGGGGGUAGCAGCUGACUGAUCUGAAUCCUCUCGUGACUGAAGGGACUGAUUCUCUCUUCCAGACACAACAACCCAAGGCCAAACACGCUGACCAUAGCCGAUGUGGCCCCGACACAUGCCCCCAUGGUAAUGUUGGGGAGACCCAUGAAAGUGAAAUACACCAGGAAAAUGAAAUUGACCGUGGAAGAGCCCCAGCUCUGAUCAAGUUCCGUUAAAAGGGAGGAACCAAGGAGAAGAGGAGAAGAGGGCUAGCCUUUGGCAUUUUCUGUCUUAAUUUUUCUGUUGGUUUUUAAAAAGAACUUCCCAUUUUCAGAUCAGCAAAAGUAGCAGGCAGGGGCAAUGUGAGGCAAACGCACUGGAAAACUUGAAGGCAUAAACAAUGAGCCCUGAUCAGAGAUCUGGGGGAGAGUACCAGACAAAGAAUGAGAAUGUGGCAAGGAUAAAGAAGAAAUCGUGCUCCAAGAUCUUAAGAAUUAGGAUCAGAAAAGACUUUAGUGAUUACUUAAUUCAACCCCUCAUUUUACAGAUGGGGUCACUGAGGCACAGAGAGGGGGAGGGACUUUGAUCAGGGUCUUCUGACUCCAAAUUCAAGAUCAUUUUCAGUAGACUGUAACUCCUCCCUUCUAGGAAAGGAAAAGGUGGGGAGGUAGGAGAAGAAAGAAAGCAGCUGCAUUCUGGAAUAAC